AUGGGUAUGGGAAAUUAUGAAACAAUCGUGAGAAUUGUGCAUGUUCUGCACACCAGUCGGAAGGGCUCUCGUGGGAGAAGGAAGCAGAUGCCGAUGCAUUCUGGCACCCAAAGAGAAGAACUAGAACCCCCCCGGGCUGACAAAGCGGGCAGGUCUGUAAUCAGUCACAGGAGGCAACAUGUCACAGAGAUGUGGGAGCAGAUGCUGGAUGGCUAGUGUUGGGCUGCCCUUGAAGACUUUAAGAAGCGAACGUCACUUUGUUUCAUCGUCGAGGAUUCUGUGAAUCUAAGACUCCAGAUUGCUAAUUAUUGUUUCAUCUCAUUACUACAUCAUCUCAAGACUUUUUUAACUCAGUGAUUCAAAAGUGCUAAGAUUUUUUUACUCCCGGACUCUGGAACUUGAGAAACUUCGAACUGUAAAAUUAUCUAGGAGACACGGUCAUUUGUGUGAAUUCCUUGUAAAAGGUGUUGAGCACAUGCUUUGCACCAGCUACUUAUUUAGGCACUUUGCAUAUAUUAUCUCAUUUAAUCCUCACAGCGUUCCUGUAAGUUGUAUACUAUUAUUAUCCCUAUUUUUGAGAUGAGGGAACUGAGGCACAGAGAGGUUAAGUGAAUUGCCUAGGAUCACACAGUAGUAUAUAGAGAGCCUAUAAUCGAAACCUGGAGUCUAUAUUCUUCACCACUGUACUAGGCUGCCUCCCUGUGUUAUAUAAGGAAUCUAUGCAGGCUGAUGGAGGGGCGCUGGCCCAGCCCAGAGCUGAGUUAUGGGUCCUUCUGAGAUUCCUGCUCAGCCCACCUCCCCCAACCCAUCUGAGGCUCACCCUUUUGGCUGAGGAAGCUGUGCGUCUCCCUUCCCCUUCCCACCUUUCCAAGAGGUGCUCCCUCCACGAUCUCAGGUUCUGAAUUCCCCAGGCAAAGCCAGCCACGUUCUUCGGGCUGGGGUCCAAGUUUAUUUAAGAAGAGGAAAAUGUUAUUAUGGAAAUUAUAACAGCUUUACGAAACAGAGCGUCACUGUAUCAAUCCAGGGCCACAAGAAUGCUCAUCAACUUAAUAGCUUCCUGUUGGGAGCCUUUCAAUCUGUGCCUGAAGCUGGCAGGCAUCAGGGCGCGGGAGUGAGGCCAAGCAACUGGGUGACACUGCCCCCCCGCCCCCUGCCCUCAGGAUGAGUGACAGAGCCCACGGAAGGGACCACAGG
rnacentral:lncRNA from 1 species